rnacentral:rRNA from 1 species
UGGUCAAGUUAUUAAGGGUGCAGGGCGGAUGCCUUGGCACUAGGAGCCGAUGAAGGACGUGAUAAGCUGCGAUAAGCUUCGGGGAGUUGCACGUAAACUUUGAUCCGAAGAUUUCCGAAUGAGGAAACUCACUUAGAGUAAUGUCUAAGUAUCAUUAAGUGAAUACAUAGCUUAAUGAGGGGAACUCAGGGAACUGAAACAUCUAAGUACCUGAAGGAAGAGAAAGAAAUUCGAUUCCGUAAGUAGCGGCGAGCGAACGCGGAUUAGCCCAAACCAAUAAAGUUUUCUUUAUUGGGGUUGCGGACAUAUCAUAACGAAGAGGUAUCGUAAUUGAAGAGGUUUGGAAAGACCCACCACAGAAGGUAAUAGUCCUGUAUGUUAAACGAGAAGACUUCAGAUAUGAUCCAGAGUACCACGGGACACGUGAAACCCUGUGGGAAGCAGGAGGGACCACCCUCCAAGGCUAAAUACUACCUAGUGACCGAUAGCGUAUAGUACCGUGAGGGAAAGGUGAAAAGAACCCCGGGAGGGGAGUGAAAUAGAACCUGAAACCCUGCACUUACAAGCUGUGGAAGCACAUUUCUUGUGUGACCGCGUACUUUUUGUAGAACGGGCCAACGAGUUACGUUAAGUAGCAAGGUUAAGCACUUAAGGUGCGGAGCCGUAGCGAAAGCGAGUUUUAACUGAGCGUUCAGUUACUUGACGUAGACCCGAAACCGGGCGACCUACCCAUGAGCAGGAUGAAGCGAAAGUAAAAUUUCGUGGAGGUCCGAACCCACGAGCGUUGAAAAGCUCGGGGAUGACUUGUGGGUAGCGGUGAAAUUCCAAUCGAGCCCGGAGAUAGCUGGUUCUCCCCGAAAUAGCUUUAGGGCUAGCCUCAAGGUGAGAGAUACGGAGGUAGAGCACUGAAUGUCCUAGGGGGUAUUGCACCUACCGAAGACUAUCAAACUCCGAAUGCCGUCAUCUUAUACUUGGGAGUCAGACUGUGGGUGAUAAGAUUCAUAGUCGAAAGGGCAACAGCCCAGAUCGUCAGCUAAGGUCCCUAAAUGUAAGUUAAGUGGUAAAGGAUGUGGGAUUGCACAGACAACCAGGAUGUUGGCUUAGAAGCAGCCACUCAUUCAAAGAGUGCGUAAUAGCUCACUGGUCGAGUGAUCCUGCGCCGAAGAUUUCCGGGGCUAAAACUUACUACCGAAGCUACGGCAUCAGUAAUGAUGGGUAGGGGAGCUUCCCAUACGGGUUGAAGCAUGACCGUAAGGACAUGUGGACAGUAUGGGAGUGAGAAUGUUGGCAUGAGUAGCGAGAUGUGGGUGAGAAUCCCACAGGCCGUAAACCCAAGGUUUCCAGGGGAAGGUUCGUCCGCCCUGGGUUAGUCGGGACCUAAGCUGAGGCCGAAAGGCGUAGGUGAUGGACAACAGGUUGAUAUUCCUGUACUACCGAUAACCGUUUGAGAGAAGGGAUGACACAGUAGGAUAAGCUAAGCACACUGUUGGUUAUGUGUGCCCAAGCAUUGAGGCAGUCAAAGUAGGCAAAUCCGCUUUGAUAAUGCUGGGAUGUGAUGGGGAGCGAAAUUUAGUAGCGAAGUAGCUGAUUUCACACUGUCAAGAAAAGUCUCUAUCGAGGUUAAAGGUACCCGUACCGCAAACCGACACAGGUGGGUGAGGAGAGUAUCCUAAGGCCAGCGAGAGAACUGUUGUUAAGGAACUCGGCAAAAUGACCCCGUAACUUAGGGAUAAGGGGUGCCACCAUCAGGUGGCCGCAGAGAAUAGGCCCAAGCGACUGUUUACCAAAAACAUAGGUUUCUGCUAAGUCGCAAGACGAUGUAUAGGAGCUGACGCCUGCCCGGUGCUGGAAGGUUAAGGGGAUCUGUUAGAGCAAUCGAAGCAGUGAACUUAAGCCCCAGUAAACGGCGGCCGUAACUAUAACGGUCCUAAGGUAGCGAAAUUCCUUGUCGGGUAAGUUCCGACCCGCACGAAAGGCGUAACGAUUUGGGCACUGUCUCAACAACAGACUCGGUGAAAUUGUAAUUCCGGUGAAGAUGCCGGAUACCUGCGACAGGACGGAAAGACCCCAUGGAGCUUUACUGUAGCUUGACAUUGGGUCUUGGUACUACAUGUACAGGAUAGGUGGGAGGCUUUGAAACCAGGACGCCAGUUUUGGCGGAGCCAUCCUUGGGAUACCACCCUUGUAGUACUGGGACUCUAACCAUAGGCCAUGAAUCUGGUCUUGGGACACUGUCAGGUGGGCAGUUUGACUGGGGCGGUCGCCUCCCAAAAGGUAACGGAGGCGCUCAAAGGUUCUCUCAGUACGGUCGGAAAUCGUACGUAGAGUGUAAAGGCAAAAGAGAGCUUGAUUGCAAGACAUACAGGUCGAGCAAGGAUGAAAAUCGGACUUAGUGAUCCGGUGGUUCUGCGUGGAAGGGCCAUCGCUCAACGGAUAAAAGCUACCCUGGGGAUAACAGGCUUAUCUCCCCCAAGAGUCCACAUCGACGGGGAGGUUUGGCACCUCGAUGUCGGCUCAUCACAUCCUGGGGCUGUAGUAGGUCCCAAGGGUUGGGCUGUUCGCCCAUUAAAGUGGUACGCGAGCUGGGUUCAGAACGUCGUG